AUUUUUAUGAAAGUCUUCAAAACACGAGGUCUUUGAAGACAAACAAUCAAAUUGAACCUAUAUGAUAUGCUGCGGAAGAAAGACUACAGUAGACAGACCAUAGUCAAGUAAGCAAUAUAAUGAAAGCACAAAGACUAAUAGCAACUAGGUAGUACAGAUCGGAAUGGAAGACAGAAUGAAGCCAAACAUGUAAUAGGCUACGCACAGUGAAGUCAAACAGAUCAAGCAAGCAAGCAAUGACUUCACGAAGACAAACUAAAAUGUAAAGAAUGUAGGGAUAGAACCAGUAGCUUGGUGAAGACAAGGAUUUGGUAGACCAGUUCCAGUUGCUGUGACAACUGUAUGUCUGGUUAGGGAGGCUGAGAUUGAUCUCAGAAGACCGUGUCUUCACCUUAUUCCACUUGAGCGAAGGACACCCAGUCCUCGCCCAAUCACUCUGGUAAGUCUUCAAGGUAGACUUCCAAAACUUCACAGACUCCGUUCAUUGGCGAUACACAAUGACUCUUGGAUCCUCAGAACGUGACGCCUAACCGGCUAGAGGAUACAUGGUCCUCAAGUGUAACAAGUCUUCAGGUCACACGGACAGAAAGACUUCAGUGAUGCCUAACACUCUUUGGCUCUCGGUGUUUUGGGCUUUGUCCUCGCAAGGAUCUCUCUGAAAGGCUUUGAAGGUGGGUUGCGCUCAAACGACAAAAGUCGUGCACUAACUCUGAGUAGCCACCAAUUUAUGGUGUAGGGGGUGGGCUAUUUAUAGCCAGGAGGCAACCCAACAUGAUAUGUCUGAAAUGACCCUGGGUAACUAAGGAACCGACACGUGUCCAAUGGUCGGAUUUCAAACACACGCGGCAGCUUGGCUUAGGCUACAAGCAAAGCUGACUCAUCCAACUCUGGAUAAGAUUUGCUCUCAUUGUCUUCACUCGAAGACAUAGGAUUUGGGUUGAGCAUCACGCCAGUCUUCUGACUUUGUUCACUUGGACCCCACUUAACAGUUCGGUGGUUCCUAUGAUUCAAUAAAGAAGAAAAGGAAACUACGAAAGAAACCAUGUCUUCGCAUUCCAUAGUCUUCAAGUGAAUGUCUUCACACGUCAUUAUCUUCAACGUGAAUGUCUUCAUGAACCACCAUGGUCUUCAAUGUCUUCAUACAUUUUUAGGGGUCAUCUCUGGUAGCUAAACUAAAUCAAUGAGGGACUACUAUCUAUGUUAUCCUACAGUUCUCACAAACACAUUAGUCCCUCAACCAUGUUUGUCGUCAAUACUCCAAAACCAACUAGGGGUGGCACUAGAUGCACUUACAACUUUGUUUCAAACCAAACUCAAAUUCAAAUUUAAAAAUGCAAGUCAAAAAUUUAUUUCUUCAAACAGUAAACUAAAAUGUUCACAUUAUCCUAUAAAUUCCCUUGAUCAUUGUCAUGUUGAAACUAGCCUCAUUUGAAUUCCCAAAAUGUCCCUGAGAACUAAUUUAGUGGUCCAGCAACAAUUAAAUUGGCCUUUUCAAUUUCUAAAAAUGGUUAGACAACUCCUUUUGACCCCAAACUUUUUGUUCCAUCUCAAGAUAUUGUGUUAGAAUUAGUGCCAAGUUUUGUUCCAAACAAAAAUCAUUUGGUACUAAAAGAAAACACAAAAUAGUCAAAAUUAGGAAAAGAAAAAAGAAAAUGUAAACAACUACUGUGGACUGGUCCGUAAGUGCACAAUGCACGGCCUAGCCCAACAGCCGGUCGUCUUCAACCCUGUCCACGGGGGCGCGGUGGACGCCGUCGGCACGUCCGUGGCGUGGAUCCGCCACGGGGCGGCCAUCCACAGGCCCCCCAGCUUUCCUAUACGAGCCCGUCGGCCCCCUGCCAACCCUAGACCACCACUUCCCCCUCCAAGCGCUGCCUUCUUCUUCCCCACAGACCCGAGCCGCCGUCGCCAUGCCGCACUGCGCCCGCGUGCCCACCGUCCUCCCCGGAGCCAGGGAUCGUGUCCAGCCACUCCGCCCACGUUGUCUUCAUUGUCUACACCAGCAGCUGGAGGCGGGGAAGCCCCAUCGACGUCGCCCACAACCCGUCUUCUCCAACUGUGGUCGCCACUGCUCACCUCGAGUCGCCACCUCUAGUGCUUCCCCAAGCUCGUUGACCUCCCCUUCCGCACCACUGUGAGCCAGCGUCCUUCCCCCUCUCUUUGGCUUGAUCUGUAGCUGCCGCUUGCUGUUAUCGUUACCGUUGCUACGGCCGCCGUCGUAAAGCUCACCACCGUAGCCACUGCAUACCUACCGAGCGCACCAGCUUGCUUAGGGCCUCGCGGUGAUGUCGUCUGAGCCCUCAGAUUAGCUUGUCUCACGCCGCAACGUUGAACCCCCACCUGCCCGUGUUUCGGACGCCGCCUUAGCUCACCAUCGGCGCUGUUUACGACCUCCCCAGCUCGCGCGUUUGGCUCCAUUAGAUGCACUGAUAACCCACAAGUAUAUGGGAUCGCAACAGUUUUAGAGGGUAGAGUAUUCAACCCAAAUUUAUAGAUUCGACACAAGGGGAGCCAAAGAAUAUUUGCAAGUAUUAUCAGCUGAGUUGUCAAUUCAACCACACCUGGAGAUUAAAUAUCUGCAGCAAAGUGAUCAGUAGCACAGUAGUAUGAUAGUUUUGAUAGUAGUGGUAACAACAAUAGUAACGGUAACAGUGAUAGCAAUGAUUUUGUAGCAGUUGUAACCGUAACAACAGUGGUAGUAACUUAGCAAGAACAAUAUGUAGGAAAUUCAUAGGCAUUGGAUCGGUGGAUUCAUUGGAUGAUAUUCAUCAUAUAACAGUCAUAACCUAAGGCGAUACAAAACUAGCUCCAGUUCAUAAAUAUAAUGUAGGCAUGUAUUUCGUAAAUAGUCAUACGUGCUUAUGGAAAGAACUUGUAUGACAUCUUUUGUCCUACCCUCCCGUGGCAGCAGGGUCCAUAAGGAAACUAAGGGAUACUAAGGCCUCCUUUUAAUAUAGAACCGGAAGAAAGCAUUAACACAUAGUGAAUGCAUGAACUCCUCAAACUACGGUCAUCACCGAAAAGUAUCCCAAUUACUGUCACACUGGGGUUUACAAAUCAUAACACGUAAUAGGUGAAUAUGACUUGCAAGAUCAGAUCUAGAAUAUAGAUAUAAUGGUGAAAACAUAAACGGUUCAGAUCUGAAAGCAUGGCACCCGGGCCCAAAGUGACAAGCAUUAAGCAUGGCAAAGUCAUAACAACAUCAAUCUCAGAACAUAAUGGAUACUAGGGAUCAAACCCUAACAAAACUAACUCGAUUACAUGAUGAAUCUCAUCCAACUCCACACCAACCAGCGAGCCUAUGAUGGAAUUACUCACUCCCGGUGGGGAGCAUCAUGGAGUUGGCGAUGAAGGAGGGUUGGUGAUGAUGAAGAUCGAAUAUCCCCCUCUCCGGAGCCCCAAACGGACUCCAGAUCUGGCCUCCUGAUGAAGAACAGGAGGCGGCGGUGGCUCCGUAUCGUGAAAUGCGAUGAAACUUCCCCCGGUUUUUCUCUCCAAAUAUGGGUAUUUAAGGAGUUGGAAUUAGUGUCUGCGGGGCCACCAGGUGGGCACAACUCACCUGGGUGCGCCUGGAGGGGGUGGCGCGCCCUGGUGGGUUGUGCUCAACCAGGGGCGCCCCUCUGAUGGUUCUUGGCUCUAGUAUUUUAUAUAUAUUCUGAAAUAAUUCUCCAAAAAGUUUUGGUCCAAUCCGAGAACUUUUAUUUCUGCACAAAAAACAACACCAUGGUAAUUCUGCUGAAAACAUCGUCAGUCCGGGUUCAUUCAAAUCACGCAAACUAGAGUCCAAAACAAGAGGAAACACAUUAGGAAAAGUAGAUACGACGAAGACAUAUCAACUCCCCCAAGCUUAAACCUUUGCUUGUCCUCAAGCAAUUCAGUUGAUAAACUGAAAGUGAAAAAGAAAAACUUUUACGAACUAUUUUGCUCUUAUUUACAUAAUAAGUUUAAGUAGCACCCAGGUUUUCAGCAAAGAUCAUGGCCAACCAUAUCAUCAAUAACUCUUAAAAAUUAUAUUAACUCAUAUCAAUGGCAUAAUCAACUAGCGAGCAAUAAUAAGAUAUCUCAAAUGCCAACACUUUUUCAAAGCAAUCAUGAUAUAAUAUGACAACAGUGGUAUCUCGCUAGACCUUUCUAAGACCGCAAAACAUAAAUGCAGAGCACCUCCAAAGUUCAAGCAGCGACUAAACAUUGUAAUUCAUGGUAGAAAAGAUCCAGUCAUGAUGCAUCCAACAUUAACUAUACACAAUGCAUGAGGAUGAAAAUAGUGCUCCCAGAUCUGGCGCUUAUUUGAGAAGGUGACGACUCAACAUAAAAUUAAAUAGAUAGUCCCUUCGCAGAGGGAAGCAGGGAUUUGUAGAGGUGCCCGAGCUCAAACUUUUAAAAACAGAGAUAAAUGAAAUUUUGGGGAUUGCACCAUUCCUGUUUACUGCACGACCAAAAGUUAUCAAUAUCUUUCAUGCUAAACACAUUAGUGGCGGUUCCCAAGUGAUAAAAUUAAAGGUUUACUCCCCCUCCACCAACAAACACACAGCAUGGCUAGCCGAAUCCACGGGUACCGUCCAUACCAACAACAAUCCUGGGGGAGUUUUGUUUAAUUAUUUGCAAUUUUUGAAUUCGGGACUGGGAAUCCCUAUUACCGCCCCUCUCGUGCAAGGACGGGUGAAUAAACACUCAUCAUGAGAAUAACCCGCUUAGCAUGGAAGAUACCGACUACCCCCGGUCGCUCUAUGAACAAUCCAGGCACACAAAACAGAUGUUUAUUUGAAGUUUUUUAGUGGUGGCACAUGCAAAUUUACUUAGGACGGCAGGGUAAUACCGCGUAUAGGUAGAUAUGGUGGACCCAUCUGGAAUAACUUGGGUUUAAAGGUUUUUGAUGCAUAAGCAGUAUUUCCGCUUACUACAGGCGAAGGCUAGCAAAUAGGUUGAGAAGCAGCCAGCUAGAGAUCGAAAACGGUCAUGAACAUGCAUUAUGAAUAAUGAACAUUGGAUACUAGCACGAGUAGGAUAUGGACACCAUGAACAUAAAUAUCAUAGAAGCUAUGUUGGUUUUGAUUCAACGAAGCCAAGUCAAGCCACUUGAAACAUUCAGAGGAGGAUACCAUAUCACAAUCAUUUUAACGCAAUGUCAACAUCCAAGAUAAAUCAUUAUCCACUCCUAGAUACUUAAGCAUGGCAUGAGAAACUAUAGUCUCUAAUUGUCAUUGCAAACAUGUUUGAUCAUAAUAUGUUGAAUCAUGGAUACUAGGUUAAAAUAUUUACAAAAACAAAACAAGUUGAGUUCAUACUCAUUUCUCUCUGCCACAGCCAGUUCAUCAAAUAUCGUCAUUAUUGCCUUUCACUUGCACGACUGAAUGAUAUGAAAAUAAUAAUAGUGCAAAAGUGCCGUGGACUAAGCUGGCAUCUGCAAAAAAUUUACUCAAAAAGGAGAAGACAAAGCAAUUUGGGCUCUUUGUUAGAUUGACAAUAAUGCGUAUGAGAGCCACUCAACAUUUUUAUCGUGGUCUUCUCCUCGGUAUGACUCAACAGAAAGGAAAAGAAAUCUAGAGAAACACACUGAAAUAUUUUUAGAGUUUUUAGCUUUUCUUUAAGAAAGCAAAUUAAAGGAAGAAAAACAAAGACGAGAAAAACUAUUUACACGGGACAACUCCCAACAAGCAAGAAGAAGAAUUGAGAAAUCUUUUGGGUUUUCUUUAAUACUACAACUAAUUAAACUAGAAAGAAAAACUGAAAAGAAGCAAGAAAUAUUUUUGGGUUUUCUCAAAGUUUUUAAAACUCACAAGAAGAAAGCGAGAGAAAUAAAUCUAGCAUGGAUAAUACAAUGAAAAAGUGUGAACACCGACAACUGGAAUAAAAUGUGUGAGCAUGAAUAAAAUCUCGGUGGAAACACGUACUCCCCCAAGCUUAGGCCUAUGCCCUAGCUUGGUAAUCACCAUCCGCUGCCUGCAUAGUAGUCGGAGUGGUAGCUCACGGAGGCUCUUGGUGCAACCACCUCAGUCCACCGAGCUGCCUCGAUCUCUACGCGCAUGCCUCGCUCUCCAGAACAAAAAAUCUUCCUCUCCUGUCAUAAUCAAAGAGAGCAGGCGCAAGCAACGCAAUAUGCACAAUGGUUUCAUUACUGAACCUCGGGUUAUAGGUAUAAUCAGUGAUUUUACCCUUAAGGAACUUAUGGCGCUUCAUUGCCUCAAAGUCUAAGUACUGAGUAGGUAAGAUGGGGUCAUAAGGAAGAGGUGUAACAGCGACCUCUUUGGCUAAACGAGAAGCAUAAAUUCCACCAUAGAAAUAACCACUACCAGCGUUAUGUUGCAACCUACGUGUAACAAUCGCUCCAAGGUUAUAACUUUUAAUUCUGGUCAAGGUAGUGUGUAUAAAGCUCAAGUCGGGAGCACAUAAUGUGAUACAAUCUUGCUUGCCCAUGAUGCAUUUGCCAUUAAAGAGUGCAAGGUAUUGAAUGGAUGGGAAAUGAAUACUUUUUAUUCUACCUUGUGUCACUCCUCUAUCCUCACGUAACAAAGACUAGUCAAGGAUGUCUCAUAUUCAGAUCUUGGUGGUUCGUCUAGCGAGCCCCAAAAUGGAAUUUUGCAGAUAUUAGAAAACAUCUCUAGAGGCAUGGUAAAAGGAUUAUCAAACAGGUUAAAUGAGAGCUUGCGUUCGUUUUUGCCUUGAAGAGGAAAGGGUGAUGCAGCAUAGUAGAGAUAAGUAUUUCCCUUAGUUAAGAACCAGGGUUAUCAAUCCAGUAGGAGAAACGCGCAAGUCCCAAUAGAUGCACCAGCACAAACAAUCAAACACUUGCACCCAACGCGAUAAAGGGGUUGUCAAUCCCUUCACAAUCACUUGCAAAGGUGAGAUCUGGUAGAGAUAGAUAAAACUAAACAAAAGAUAAAAUAUAUUUUUGGGUUUUUGGUUUUUAGAUCUGAAAAUAAAAGAUUGCAAAAUAGUAGAUCGAAAACUAAUAUGAUGGAAAAUAGACCCAGGGGCCAUAGGUUUCACUAGAGGCUUCUCUCAUGAAGGCAAAUAAUACGGUGGGUGAACAAAUUACUGUCGAGCAAUUGAUAGAAAAGCGCAAACUUAUGACGAUAUCCAAGGCAAUGAUUAUGCAUAUAGGCAUCACGUCCGUGUCAAGUAGACCGACUCCUGCCUGCAUCUACUACUAUUACUCCACACAUCAACCGCUAUCCAGCAUGCAUCUAGAGUAUUAAGUUCAUAAAGAAUGGAGUAACGCCUUAAGUAAGAUGACAUGAUGUAGAGGAAUAAACUCAAGCAAUAUGAUGAAAACCCCAUCUGUUUAUUCUCAAUGGCAACUAGUCAAUAUGUGUCUCGCUACCCAUACUUUGUCACUGGGUGAAAUCACGCAAGAUUGAACCCAAAGCUAAGCACCUCUCCCAUUGCAAGAAAAACCAAUCUAGUUGGCCAAACCAAACCGAUGAUUCGAAGAGAAAUACAAACAUAUGAAAUCAUGCAUAUAAGAAUUCAGAGAAGAUUCAAAUAAUAUUCAUAGAUAAGCUGAUCAUAAACCCACAAUUCAUCAGAUCUCGACAAACACACCGCAAAAGAAGAUUACAUCGGAUACAUAUCCAAGAACAUCAAGGAGAACAUGGUAUUGAGAAUCAAAGAGAGAGAAGAAGCCAUCUAGCUACUAGCUAUGGACCUGUAGGUCUGUGGUAAACUACUCAUGCUUCAUCGGAAGGGCAAUAGGGUUGAUGUAGAUGCCCUCCGUGAUCGAAUCCCCCUCCGGCAGGAUGCCAGAAAAGGCCCCAAGAUGGGAUCUCACGGGAACAAAAGGUUGCGAUGGUGGAAAAGUGUUUUCGUGGAUGCUUCUGAGGGUUUUGGAAUAUAUGUGAAUAUAUAGGAUGAAGAGCUAGGUCAGGGGAGUCGCGAGGGGUCCACAAGGUAGGGUGCCCCCCUUAGUGCACGCCCUCCACCCUUGCCACCGCCUCGUGGCUCUUCUGACUUGGACUCCAUGUCCCGUGAGUGUCUUCUAGUCCAAGAAAAAUUAUCGUGAAGUUUUAGCAAUUAACUUAAGCUAACUAACUCCGUUAAUUAGUAUAGACACUGACAGGCUGGCCCCAUCUGCUAAUAAACCUAAUCAGGAUUAGUUAAACCCGUUGUUAGAAUCUGUGUCACUGCGCACUGGGUCCCACUGGGCCCGGUUGACCAGUCAACCUAUUGACUGGGCUAGCCCAGUCAAUGACAGGUGGGUCCCUAUUGACCCAGGUUACCAGUCAACUGGUCAAUAGUUGACCUGCUGACUCAGCAGGCUGGCCCCACAUGUCAGCCACACACGCACAUCUAUGGGUACACUUUUUGUGUACCCAUAGCAAUUUAAUAAAUUCGAAUCAAAUUAAUUCCAGAAAUUCAAAAAUCAUUUAAAACUUUGAAAAAUCAUAUAAAUUAAUUCGUAAGUCAGACGAAAAUGAUUUACAUAUGAAAGUUGCUCAGAAAAAUGUAACAAAUCUGAAUAUGCUAUCCAAUCAUCUGUCACAUGCCUUUAGCAUGAUGAACAUGGACCCUUCCCCUCCGAUUCAUCUGUCCGAAAACAACCAAAAGCUGGGAAAACAUUCUCAGAUGUUUUCCCGCUUUCUUUGUAACGUGUAGCACGGCGUUAGGUCAACCCUAGCACAGCUUAUUGUCGUGCCAUGCUUCGUGAAUCAUUUGAUUGCUUUAUAUUUAGUGUCCCCCCCUCUUCUUCUCCGGUAGACCCCGAGGCCGAUGACGAUGCCAUGACGAUGCCAGGCAAGCAAACCCCCUUGAUCAUUCCUAUAUCGCCCAUUCCAUUCUCUCUCAUGCUUGCAUUAGAUUUUGCUAUUGUAAUUGAUUGCUCCUAUUCUAAUGCAUAGCCUGCUUUUGUAACCUGCUUUUGUACCUUACCUGCCUAUCCUAUAUGCUUAGUAUAGGUUGGUUAGUGAUCCAUCAGUGACCCCUCACCUUGUCCCUGUCGCCCCCGCUGGAUUACCAAAUGACUCGAUCAACAUGAUCGACGUCCAGAGACCGACACAUCACCUCACACCCCCUUAGUUGUACGACUAUGCAGAGCUACUAUCGAGUGCCGAGGGUGAUACCUUGUUUAGCACUUCUGAUGAGAUCUCUGUAGUGUAGCUAACCUGUCAUGAUUUACGGAGGGUGAUUCCUCCUUCACCACUCCCGAUAACGACUCUGUCGUUCAACACCUCAAGUGUGAACCCACGAGGGUGAUUGUCGGUGUCAAAACCGGCCGAUCUCGGGUAGGGGGUCCCGAACUGUGCAUGUGAGGAUUGAAGGUAACAAGGGACAAAGGGGACACGAUGUUUACCCAGGUUCGGGCCCUCUUAAUGGAGGUAAAACCCUACGUCCUGCUUGAUUAUCUUUGAUGAGUAUAGGGGUUACAAGAGUUGAUCUACCUCGAGAUCGUAAUGGCUAAACCCUAGCUGUCUAGCCUAUAUGAAUUCUGAUAGCCUCUACGGACUAAACCCUUUGGUUUAUAUACACACUGGAGGGGCCUAGGGUUGUACAGAGUCGGUUUGUAGAGGAAGGAAAUUACAUAUUCGGACACCAAUCUUGCCAUCCACGCAUAGGAGAGUCCUAUCCAGACACGGGGGGAAGGUCUUCUGCCUUGUAUCUUCAUGGCCCAUCAGUCCGGCCCAUAUCACACAGCCCGGACACCCGAGGACCCCCUAAUCCAGGACUCCCUCAGUAGCCCCUGAACCAGUCUCCAAUGACAAGAUAUUCGGCACGCGGGUUAUCUAUGACAUUGUAAGGCGGGUUCCUCCUCCUCAGUACUUCAAAGCAGUCUUCUGAACAAAAGAACUAUAUUCGGCUCUGUAUAAUAGUCACAACCCUUAGCCAUGAAGGCAAGAUACUUAAUCAAGAUAAUAUCUGUCAACUGACAACUUUUCGGCGAAACGUCACGUCUGUCCUCUUAACAUUUCGAACCGUUUUUUCACCUCCCGCUUCGUGUUUCGAGGCACAUCCUCUAUUGACAUGACUUGUCAAAACAUAGAUCAUGUCCGCUUAUCGCGGGAUCCUCAUCAAUACGGUUUUGGGUAAUCCAACCGUGCCAUUCGCACAACCCCUUGGGAACAGGCGAGUGUUAAGGCUUAAGGGUGGGCGUUUGAAAUCCAUUGCCUAUAUAAGGGGACAAAGAUCCCUCUUUUCUCCCCACGCCUUCUUCCUUCUCUUGUUUUCCCGUCCUCAAGCUCCAGCGCCAAAGCUUCAGUCUUUCCACCGCCACCAACUUCUCCAGCCAUGUCCCAAUCUGGUUCAAAGGGCAAGUGGGAGGCCUCCUCCGUCACGAAGAAGGACGUAAAGGAGCACUGGGAGGCGGGGUAUUGAUAACCCACAAGUAUAGGGGGUCGCAACAGUUUUCGAGGGUAGAGUAUUCAACCCAAAUUUAUUGAUUCGACACAAGGGGAGCCAAAGAAUAUUCUCAAGUAUUAGCAGUUGAGUUGUCAAUUCAACCACACCUGGAUAACCUAGUAUCUGCAGCAAAGUAUUUAGUAGCAAAGUAAUAUGGAAGUAACAGUAAUAGUGGCAAAAGUAAUGGUAGCUGUUUUGAAGUGAUUGUAACAGCAGCAACAGAAAAGUAACUAAGCAAAGAACAAUAUGUGAAAAGCUCGUAGGCAUUGGAUCGGUGAUGGAGAAUUAUGCCGGAUGCGAUUAUUCAUGUAACAGUUAUAACAUAGGGUGACACAGAACUAGCUCCAGUUCAUCAAUGUAAUGUAGGCAUGUAUUCCGAAUAUAGUCAUACGUGCUUAUGGAAAAGAACUUGCAUGACAUCUUUUGUCCUACCCUCCCGUGGCAGCGGGGUCCUAUUGGAAACUAAGGGAUAUUAAGGCCUCCUUUUAAUAGAGUACCGGACCAAAGCAUUAACACAUAGUGAAUACAUGAACUCCUCAAACUACGGUCAUCACCGGGAGUGGUCCCGAUUAUUGUCACUUCGGGGUUGCCGGAUCAUAAAACAUAGUAGGUGACUAAUGACUUGCAAGAUAGGAUCAAGAACUCACAUAUAUUCAUGAAAACAUAAUAGGUUCAGAUCUGAAAUCAUGGCACUCGGGCCCUAGUGACAAGCAUUAAGCAUAGCAAAGUCAUAGCAACAUCAAUCUCAGAACAUAGUGGAUACUAGGGAUCAAACCCUAACAAAACUAACUCGAUUACAUGAUAAAUCUCAUCCAACCCAUCACCGUCCAGCAAGCCUACGAUGGAAUUACUCACGCACGGCGGUGAGCAUCAUGAAAUUGGUGAUGGAGGAUGGUUGAUGAUGACGAUGGCGACGGAUUCCCCUCUCCGGAGCCCCGAAAGGACUCUAGAUCAGCCCUCCCGAGAGAGAUUAGGGCUUGGCGGCGGAUCCGUAUCAUAAAACGCGAUGAAUCCUUCUCCCUGAUUUUUUUCUCCCCGGACACGAAUAUAUAGAGUUGGAGUUGAGGUCGGUGGAGCUCCAGGGGGCCCACGAGGCAGGGGGGCGCGCCCAGGGGGGCAGGCGCGCCGCCCACCCUCGUGGACAGGGUGUGGGCUCCCUGGUCUUGAUUCUUUCACCAGUAUUUUUUAUUAUUUCCAAAAAUAAUCUCCGUGAAGUUUCAGGUCAUUCCAAGAAAUUUUAUUUCUGCACAAAAAUAACACCAUGGCAAUUCUGCUGAAAACAGCGUCAGUCCGGGUUAGUUCCAUUCAAAUCAUGCAAGUUAGAGUCCAAAACAAGGGCAAAAGUGUUUGCAAAAGUAGAUACGACGGAGACGUAUCAACUCCCCCAAGCUUAAAGCUUUGCUUGUCCUCAAGCAAUUCAGAUGAUAAACUGAAAGUGAUAAAGAAAAAAAUUUACAAACUCUGUUUGCUCUUAUUGUUGCAAAUAUGUAAAGCCAGCAUUCAAGUUUUCAACAAAGAUUAUGAACUAAUCAUAUUCACAAUAACACUUAGGUCUCACGUUUACUCAUGUCAAUGACAUAAUCAACUAGCGAGCAAUAAUAAUAAAUCUCGGAUGACAACACUUUCUCAAAACAAUCAUGAUAUGAUAUAACAAGAUGGUAUCUCGCUAGCCCUUUCUGAGACCGCAAAACAUAAAUGCACAUCCCCUUUAAAGAUCAAGGACUAACUAAACAUUGUAGUUAAUGGUAAAAGAGAUCCAGUCAUACUCAAUAUAAAUUAAUAGUAAUGGAUGCAAAUGACAGCGGUGCUCUCCAGCUGGUGCUUUUUAAUAAGAGGGUGAAGACUCAACAUAAAAGUAAAUAGAUAGGCCCUUCACAGAGGGAAGUAGGGAUUUGUAGAGAUGCCAGAGUUCGAUUUUGAAAUAGAGAUGAAUAAUAUUUUGAGCGGCAUACUUUCAUUGUCAACAUAACAACAAAGAGAUCUCGAUAUCUUCCAUGCUACUCACAUUAUAGGCGGUUCCCAAACAGAAUGGUAAAGUUUAUACUCCCCCUCCACCAACAAGCAUCAAUCCAUGGCUUGCUCGAAACAACGAGUGGCUCCAACUAACAAGAGUCCCGGGGGAGUUCUGUUUGCAAUUAUUUUGAUUUGAUUUGCAUAAAGCAUGGGACUGGGCAUCCCGGUGACCAGCCAUUUUCUCGUGAGUGAGGAGCGAAGUCCACUCCUCUUGAGAAUAACCUACCUAACAUGGAAGAUACAGACAGCCCUAGUUGAUAUAUGAGCUAUUCGAGCAUACAAAACAGAAUUUCAUUUGAAGGUUUAGAGUUUGGCACAUACAAAUUUACUUGGAACGGCAGGUAGAUACCGCAUAUAGGAAGGUAUAGUGGACUCAUAUGGAAUAACUUUGGGGUUUAAGGGAUUGGAUGCACAAGCAGUAUUCCCGCUUAGUACAAGUGAAGGCUAGAAAAAGACUGGGAAGCGACCAACUAGAGAGCGACAACAGUCAUGAACAUGCAUUAAAAUUAAUAAACAUUGAGUGCAAGCAUGAGAAGGAUAUAAUCCACCAUGAACAUAAAUAUCGUGAAGGCUAUGUUGAUUUUGUUUCAACUACAUGUGUGAACAUGUGCCAAGUCCAGUCACUUGAAUCAUUCAAAGGAGGAUACCACCCUACUAUACCACAUCACAAUCAUUUUAAUAGCAUGUUGGCACGCAAAAUAAACCAUUAUAAACUCCUAGCUGAUUAUGCAUGGCAUAAGCAACUAUAAUCUCUAAUUGUCAUUGCAAACAUGUUUAUUCAUAAUAGGCUGAAUCAGGAACGAUGAACUAAUCAUAUUUACAAAAACAAGAGAGGUCGAGUUCAUACCAGCUUCUCUCAUCUCAAUCAGUCCAUCAUAUAUCGUCAUAAUUGCCUUUCACUUGCACGACCGAACGAUGUGAAUAAUAAUAAUAGUGCAUGUGCAUUGGACUAAGAUGGAAUCUGCAGGCAUUCAAUAAACAGGAGAAGACAAGGCAAUAUGGGCUCUUGGUUAAAUCAACAAUAAUGCAUAUAAGAGCCACUUCAACAUUUUCAUUAUGGUAUUCUCCUCUCGACCUCCAAAGAAAAGAAAAGAAAUAAAACUAUUUACACGGGAAAGCUCCCAACAAGCAAAAGAAGAACGAGAAAUCUUUUUGGGUUUUCUUUUAAUUACUACUACUACAGCAUGAAAAGUAAAUUAGCUAAAAGCUACAACUAUUUUUUUUCUUAAGGUUUUUCAAACACACAAGAAGAAAGCAUAAAAAGGAAAAUAAACUAGCAUGGAUAGUACAAUGAAAAAGUAUGAGCACCGACAACUAGCAUGAGUGUGUGAAUAUGAAUGUAAUGUCGGUGAGAAAUACGUACUCCCCCAAGCUUAGGCUUUUGGCCUAAGUUGGUCUACUGCCACGGUUGGCCUGGCGGAUAUCCAAAGUUGCAGUCGGGGUCGUACUGUGAUGCAGCAGCUAUUGCCUCAUGAGCUGCCGCUUGGAGGCGAGCUGUCUCCGUCCUCCUCUUAUACUCGUUCGCCUCCUCCCUGGUAUGACAUAUCUCCCCUUUGCCGGAAAGUCAAAGAGGGUAGGAGCAGGGAGAACAAUAUUGACAGCGUGACGCCUGUCAAAGAUUAGUCGGUACUGGAGAGGUGGUUCAUUCCUCUCAACAAACUGGUGGCGAACCAUGGCAUUAAAAUCUAGACAAGCAGGAGGCAAUUCCAUAUCAUAAUCACGAAUAGGUAUCUCAAGAUAAUUAGCUAGACGGGUUGCAUAAAUUCCCCCAAACAAAUCCCCAUUUAAACUGUUAUUAUGCAACCUACGCGCCACAAUAGCUCCCGGAUUAUAAUGUUUAUCUCCUAAUGCAGCACUCCUAAGAACACUGAGAUCAGGAACACACAUGUGGCAUGCGUCAUCCUUACCGUUUAUGCAUCGGCCUAUAAAGAUAUCAAAAUAAUUUAUAGCAGGAAAAUGAAUACUCCCUAUGGUAGCUUGUGUUAUUUCUCUAGAUUCCCCCAUUGUGAUACUAGCAAGAAAAUCUCUAAACUCAGAUUUGCGAGGUUCACUAGGACUACCCCAUUGCGGGAGUUUACAAGAAGUAGUAAAAUCCUCUAGGUCCAUGGUAUAGGAUUUAUCAUAAAGAUCAAACAGGACCGUGUGAGAGUUGCGUGAUGAUGAAAAUCCAAAUCUUCUCACAAAGGAAUCAGUAAGGUAAUAGUGUUGGAGGCACUUAUCUGACACGAAGCCUUCCAAAUCAGCGUUACGCACAUAUGCCUCAAAUUCCUCCAUAAUUCCGGCUCGGACCAUGAAGUUUUCUGACGGCCAUUCACAAGGCCGCACUUGAGCUUCUCUUGGUGGUUCAUCGUCCGCAUCGCGGCGGCCCUGGGUCCUUGCUUCCUUGAAGAACCACCUUGGUACAUUUUCCUAAACAUAUUUCUUCCUCUGAAAAAUUUCUGAAAAUUUUAGUAGCUCAAAAUAAAAGUGAACCAAACUCAACAAAAUUAAUAGUAACUACUCCCACAAGUGCCUAGAGACUAUAUCAUGCAUUAGAACUACUUGGCACCAUAUAAAUUUGACAUGCAAGCUCAAGAACAGGGUCACCUAGGCAGCAAAAAUUUGCAAUGAAUAAAGCACUAGAACAAAAACUAAUUGGACCAUUGGAGGAGUCACAUAAUGAAGAAUAAUCCCCCAAAGCAGUUUUGUGAGUGGAGCUUUGAGCUAGGAGAUCUAAAAUCGCAGCAAAAUGAGCUAGAACUCGUGCUUGAGCUGGUAGGUGAUUUUUUGGGAGGAAGAAGGAGUGUGUGGUGGCUGGAAUAAGUGGAGGGGAGCCACCAUGGGCCCAUGAGGCAGGGGGCGCGCCUGGGGGGUGGGCGCGCCCUGGACCCUCGUGGCCAGGUGCUUGCUCCCCCUGAUGUGUUCUCAGUGCCAGAUAUUCUCAAAUAUUCCAGAAAAAUCAUAUUUCAAUUUCGGGGCAUUUGGAGAACUUUUAUUUUUGGGGUAUUUUUUAUUUCACAGAUAAUUCAGAAAACUGACAGAAAAAUACUAUUUUUGCUUUAUUUAAUCUAAAUAACAGGAAGUAAAUGGAGGGUACAGAAGGUUGUGCCUUCUAACUUCAUCCAUCUCAUGCUCAUCAAAAGGAAUCCACUAACAAGGUUGAUCAGGUCUUGUUAACAAACUCAUUUUGAAUAACAUGAAACCGGAGAAAUUUCGAAUAACACGAUGUUACCUCAACGGGGAUAUGCACAUACCCAACGAUAAGAAUAUCAUAUCUCUUCUUGACAGUAGGAAGAGGAAAUUCAAAACCUCCAAUAGUAAUAGUUGAAAUUUUUCCAAUAGAAUUGAUACUGUGGACUUGAGGUUGUUUCCUCGGAAAGUGUACCGUAUGCUCAUUACCAUUAACAUGAAAAGUGACAUUGCCUUUGUUGCAAUCAAUAACAGCCCCUGCAGUAUUCAAAAAGGGUAUUCCCAGAAUAAUAGACGUACUAUCGUCCUCGGGAAUAUCAAGAAUAACAAAGUCCGUUAAAAUAGUAACGUUUGCAACCACAACAGGCACAUCCUCACAAAUACCGACAGGUGUAGCAGUUGAUUUAUCAGCCAUUUGCAAAGAUAUUUCAGUAGGUGUCAACUUAUUCAAAUCAAAUCUACGAUAUAAAGAGAGAGGCAUAACACUAACACCGGCUCCAAGAUCACAUAAAGCAGUUCUAACAUAGUUUCUUUUAAUGGAGCAUGGUAUAGUUGGUACUCCUAGAUCUCCAAGUUUCUUUGGUAUUCCACCCUUAAAAGUAUAAUUAGCAAGCAUGGUGGAAAUUUCAGCUUCCGGUAUCUUUCUUUUAUUUGUAAAAAUAUCCUUCAUAUACUUAGCAUAAGGAUUCAUUUUAAGCAUAUCAGUCAAACGCAUACGCAAGAAGAUAGGUCUAAUCAUUUCAGCAAAGCGCUCAAAAUCCUCAUCAUCCUUUUACUUGGAUGGUUUGGGAGGAAAAGGCAUGGGUUUCUGAACCCAUGGUUCCCUUUCUUUACCGUGCUUCCUAGCAACAAAGUCUCUCUUAUCAUAACGUUGAUUCUUUGAUUGUGGGUUAUCAAGAUCAACAGCAGGUUCAAUUUCUACAUCAUUAUUAUUGCUAGGUUGAGCAUCAACAUAAACAUCAUCAUUAACAUUAUCACUAGGUUCAUGUUCAUUACCAGAUUGUGUUUCAGCAUCAGAGAUAGAAAUAUCAUUGGGAUUCUCAGGUGUGUCAACAACAGGUUCACUAGAAGCAUGUAAAGUCCUAUCAUUAUUCUUUUUCUUCCUUUAGAAGGACUAGGUGCAUCAACAUUAGUUCUAUGAGAAUCUUGCUCAAUUCUUUUAGGGUGGCCCUCAGGAUACAAAGGUUCCUGAGUCAUUUUACCCCCUCUAGUCACAACUCUAAUAGCAUUAUCAUCUUUCUUAUUAUUUGAUUCAAUGAGCAAGUCAUUCUGAGCUUUAAGCACUUGUUCUACUUGAGUGGUAACCAUAGAAGCAUGUUUACUAAUAAGUUUAAGUUCACCUUUAGCUCUAGACAUAUAAUCACUCAAGUGUUCAAUCAUAUAAGCAUUACGUUUCAAUUGUCUACCAAAAUAAGCGUUAAAAUCUUCUUGCUUAACCAUAAAAUUAUCAAACUAAUCUAAGCAUUGGCUAGCAAACUUAGUAGGCGGGAUUUCAGCUUUAUCAUAUCUAUAGAGAGAAUUUACCUUUACUACCUGUGUCGGGUUAUCAAGACCAUGUUUUUCUUCAAUAGGUGAUGAAUUAAGACCAUGUAUUUCUUCAACAGGAGGUAAAUUCUUAACAUCUUCAGCUUUAAUACCUUUUUCUUUCAUAGAUUUCUUUGCCUCUUGCAUAUCUUCAGGACUGAGAAAUAGAAUACCCCUUUUCUUCGGAGUUGGCUUAGGAGUUGGUUCAGGAAGUGUCCAGUUAUUUUCAUUAGUCAACAUAUUAUUCAAUAGAAUUUCAGCUUCAUCAAUAGUUCUUUCCCUGAAAACACAACCAGCACAACUAUCCAGGUGGUCUCUGGAAGCAUCGGCUAGUCCAUUAUAAAAGAUAUCAAGUAUUUCAUUUUUCUUGAGAGGAUGAUCAGGCAAAGCAUUAAGUAAUUGGAGAAGCCUCCCCCAAGCUUGUGGGAGACUCUCUUCUUCAAUUUGCACGAAAUUAUAUAUUUCCCUUAAAUCAGCUUGUUUCUUAUGAACAGGGAAAUAUUUAGCAGAGAAGUAAUAAAUCAUAUCCUGGGGACUACGCACACAACCAGGAUCAAGAGAAUUAAACCAUGUUUUAGCAUCACCCUUUAAUGAGAACGGAAAUAAUUUAAGGAUAUAAUAGUAGCGAGUUUUCUCAUCAUUAGUGAACAGGGUAGCUAUAUCAUUUAAUUUAGUAAGAUGUGCCACAACAGUUUCAGAUUCAUAGCCAUAAAAAGGAUCAGAUUCAACCAAAGUAAUUAUCUCAGGAUCAACAGAGAAAUCAUAAUCCUUAUCAUUAACAAAGAUAGGUGAAGUAGCAUAAGCAGGGUCAUAUUUCAUUCUAGCAUUCAAAGAUUUUUCUUUGAGCUUUACUAAUAAUUUCUUAAGAUCACUUCUAUCAUUGCAAGCAAGAAAGUCUCUAGCAGUUUCUUCAUCCAUAACAUAACCCUCAGGCACAACAGGUAAUUCAUAUCUAGGGGAAGAAUCUUCAUCAUCACUUUCAUCAAUAUUAUCAGUUUCAAUAAUUUCAUUCUCUCUAGCCCUAGCAAGUUGUUCAUCAAAAAAUUCACCUAGUGGCACAGUAGUAUCAAGCAUAGAAGUAGUUUCAUCAUAAGUAUCAUGCAUAGCAGAAGUGGCAUCAUCAAUAACAUGCGACAUAUCAGAAUUCAUAGUAGAAGCAGGUUUAUAGGUGUCGCAAGCUUACUCAAAACAGAAGGUGAAUCAAGUGCAGAGCUAGAUGGCAGUUCCUUACCUCCCCUCGUAGUUGAGGGAUAGAUCUUGGUUUUUUCGUCUUUCAAGUUCCUCAUAGUGACCAGUAGAUAUAAAUCCCAAGUGACUCAAAGAAUAGAGCUAUGCUCCCCGACAACGGCGCCAGAAAAUAGUCUUGAUAACCCACAAGUAUAGGGGAUCGCAACAGUUUUCGAGGGUAGAGUAUUCAACCCAAAUUUAUUGAUUCGACACAAGGGGAGCCAAAGAAUAUUCUCAAGUAUUAGCAGUUGAGUUGUCAAUUCAACCACACCUGGAUAACUUAGUAUCUGCAGCAAAGUAUUUAGUAGCAAAGUAAUAUGGAAGUAACGGUAACAGUGGCAAAAGUAACGGUAGCAGUUUUGUAGUGAUUGUAACAGCAGCAACGGAAAAGUAACUAAGCAAAGAACAAUAUGUGAAAAGCUCGUAGGCAUUGGAUCGGUGAUGGAGAAUUAUGCCGGAUGUGAUUAUUCAUGUAACAGUUAUAACAUAGGGUGACACAGAACUAGCUCCAGUUCAUCAAUGUAAUGUAGGCAUGUAUUCCGAAUAUAGUCAUACGUGCUUAUGGAAAAGAACUUGCAUGACAUCUUUUGUCCUACCCUCCCGUGGCAGCGGGGUCCUAUUGGAAACUAAGGGAUAUUAAGGCCUCCUUUUAAUAGAGUACCGGACCAAAGCAUUAACACAUAGUGAAUACAUGAACUCCUCAAACUACGGUCAUCACCGGGAGUGGUCCCGAUUAUUGUCACUUCGGGGUUGCCGGAUCAUAACACAUAGUAGGUGACUAAUGACUUGCAAGAUAGGAUCAAGAAUUCACAUAUAUUCAUGAAAACAUAAUAGGUUCAUAUCUGAAAUCAUGGCACUCGGGCCCUAGUGACAAGCAUUAAGCAUAGCAAAGUCAUAGCAACAUCAAUCUCUGAACAUAGUGGAAUACUAGGGAUCAAACCCUAACAAAACUAACUCGAUUACAUGAUAAAUCUCAUCCAACCCAUCACCGUCCAGCAAGCCUAUGAUGGAAUUACUCACGCACGGCGGUGAGCAUCAUGAAAUUGGUGAUGGAGGAUGGUUGAUGAUGACGAUGGCGACGGAUUCCCCUCUCCGGAGCCCCGAACGGACUCCAGAUCAGCCCUCCCGAGAGAGAUUAGGGCUUGGCGGCGGCUUCGUAUCGUAAAACAUGAUGAAUCCUUCUCCCUGAUUUUUUUCUCCCCGAACACCGAAUAUAUAGAGUUGGAGUUGAGGUCGGUGGAGCUCCAGGGGGCCCACGAGGCAGGGGGCGUGCCCCCACCCUCGUGGACAGGGUGUGGGCCCCCUGGUCUUGAUUAUUUCGCCAGUAUUUUUUAUUAUUUCCAAAAAUAAUCUCCGUGAAGUUUCAGGUCAUUCCGAGAACUUUUAUUUCCGCACAAAAAUAACACCAUGGCAAUUCUGCUGAAAACAGCGUCAGUCCGGGUUAGUUCCAUUCAAAUCAUGCAAUUUAGAGUCCAAAACAAGGGCAAAAGUGUUUGGAAAAGUAGAUACGGUGGAGACGUAUCAGGUAUCUGUCUGCGGACAUCGCGCACAGGCUUCCUGUUAAGGACCAAUUCAUCCCCACUCCAGAGCCCGGCGAAAGUGUUGUAUUCAUCCCUCACUUCCUCCGCGGGCUAGGGUUUCCCCUCCACCCCUUCGUCCGAGGCCUCAUGUUACUAUGGCAUAUAGAUUUCCAUGAUCUAGCCCAAAAUUCUUUCCUCCACAUAUCGGCGUUCAUCGCCGUGUGUGAGGCGCUACUCCGCAUCCCCCCACACUUCGGCCUAUGGCUAAAAGUCUUCAAUGUGAAGCCGAAGGUGGCCGACGGGCAGCAUGUGGACUGCGGCGGUGCCAUGGUGAGCAAGAUCCCCAACGCCGUUUGGCCUAAGGGGGCCUUCAUGGAGACUAUCAAGGUGUGGUAGCAGGAGUGGUUCUACAUCACCGAACCACGCGACGCCAACUGGGCGGCCACCCCUGAGUUCAGAUCUGGACCCCCUAUGCGGCUCACCUCCUGGACCACCAAGGGCCUGGAAUGGGGAUCCAUGGUGGAAGUGUCGAUGCUGCAAAAGCGCAUCACAAACAUGAUAGGCAAGAACACCAGUCUCACUAACAUGAUUCAGGUGAUACUCUUCCGCCGGAUCCUUCCCUGCCAACUCUGGCCCUCCCACAUGUGGGAGUUCAAUCCGGAAGAUCCGCGGACCUUGAAGCUCGGCACAACGCAUGAAGACAUCUGGAAGCUGCUCUUCAAGGCCCAGAAAACGUGGCCGAAGAAGACCGAAGACAUCGGUCUUGACAGCGAGAAUCCGGCCACACCGGUAAGUGUGUUAUUCCCAAAUAUAUAUUUGAUCAAUAAGUUUUUAGGCAUAAUGAGUUUCCGUCCCUUGUACAGGGCUGGAUUGCAAAGGCGGAGUGGAUCAAGUGUCCGGCCCCGCUACCUGAAGACCCGGCCGAACCCCAGCUGACGAAGAUGCUGGUCCCAGCGCCCUAUCAGGCGCCGGAGGAGAAGGGCAAGAAGAAGAAGGGCAAGGAGGACAAGGGCGACCUCCGCUGCAAGGGUCCUUCGGACGCAGUGUCCGGAGAGACCGAAAGCCCCUCCUCCCAUGAGGGAGAUGAAGACGACGAGGGGGAGGAGGUGGAAAGCGACUCCCCUCUUAAGGGGAGGAAGAAGAAGAGGGCAGCCUCCACAGACCCGGAGGAGGAGGCGCCCAAGAGGGGGAAGAUUGCCCUCUUGGAUGGUUCGGAUUCGGAAGCCGAACCCAUCCCCAAGAGGCUUCCCAGGGUGAAGCCCUUGGCCGAAUCGUAAGCAUCAAAGGAUUUAUUACAUGUAUUCGGUCCUCUAUGUUUUUAAUAUAACAUAUUAUACUAUGUGUAUUUCAGCCCCACUCACGACCUCCCCAACCCUUCACUAUCUGAGGGGAGUUCUCUGCCGCCCAAGAUGGUAGAGAGCGAGACGCCUCCGCGAGCCUCUCCGCCAAUCAUCACAGACGACACCGAGGUGUUGUCCCGAAGGACCUCCCUAGGCCACAGAGGAGUGAGCGAGGCGGCCGAAACGGCGCCCGAGGGUAAUACCUCGGUUGCCAAAGACAUGGGGGGUGCGAUCCCCAUGGCGACCGACGGUGGGGGCCCUGAUCAGUCCGGCCCCCAGCCGGACAUCGUUCCGGAGACCCAUACGGCUCCGGAAUCGGGCGAGCAUUCUCCUUUGAAGGAGGGGGAGCAUCAGCUCUAACGGUGACCUCCACUAAUCCGGAGGCGCCGAAUGCUCUGAUGGAAGCACUACGACGUGCCUCCAUCAUGGAGGAGCACCGAACCCUGAUGGGUGUGGUAGUUGAGAAGGUUCAAUCCGCCAAGAGCGGCUGAACGAAGCCUUCACCAGCCUACUAACAGGCUUCGAGGUAUGUAACGUAAUGCUCUAGACGCUUUUCAUAUGAAGCAAAUAUACCUGUAUAUAGAUAGUAGCCCCUGAGACUCUGUUCGGUUUUGAAAUAGCCGAAGGGAUCACAUAGUAUUCGAAAGAGGUGACAUACUUUUCUAUGUUAUAACAGGAUUCCCUAUUGGCGGCAACCGCCCAGGCCGCUGAAGUUUCCGAACUCAAUCAGAAACUAAAGCUGGCUGAUGAUGAGAUGCCAUAAUAAGCAAAGGCGCCGAUGCUCCAUGGCCAAAGGUUUCCUUCCCGAAGAUGUCCAACUUAUGGCAGCGGGAGUGGUUUUACAUCACAGCUCCCCGAAGUACUAAGUGGGUAGCUGCCCCGUCUUUUGUUCGGGCCCCCCGCCACAACUGGCGUCAUGGGUCAACAAGGGGCUGGACUGGGGGCCAGUUAAUGACGUGCCGACAUUGCAGAGUCGUAUCCGAGAUCUCCUCAAGAGAGAUGUCAGCCUUGUCAAGGUAAUACAAGUCAUGCUAGUUCGUCGGGUCCUGCCAUGCCAACGUCGACCUCUCCGUAUGUGGGAGUUCAACCCGGAAGGACCGCGAACUAUUCAACAAUUCUUUGGCGUGACGCUCGAAGAGAUGUAUGGAUUGUUCUUCAUAUCACGAAUAAAGUGUCCGGACACCACCGAGGAUGCGGGCCUGAACUGCAAUCGUCCAGAUACCCACGUAAGUAAUUCUGCGGCCGAAAAUGUUGUCUUUUUAUUCAUCACAACAUCAUUCUGAAAAAUCGCUCUUUGACCAGGACUGGAUAAAAAAGGCGUAGAUGAUCAGGUGUUCGGCCCCCCUUCCCGAAGGCUCACGGGAUCCUGUAAUAGCUAGGAUGCUUGAGCAUGCACCUUAUCAAGUGCCAUCAGAGGAAGAUAAAGGGAGGAAUAAAGAAGCCGAAAGCGGGCCUCACGCAUUACUCAUCCAAACCUGGGGGAUUAGUGUCUCCGCGAAGGAGGAUAACCGGGGAGAAGAAUCUAAAAUUCCCUCUCCCCAAGGAAGGAAGAGGACCGCCUCUGAAGACUUGGAAACGAGGGUUUCCAAACGAGGGAAGAAACCUUCGCCAGGGGGCCCUGCCCCGGAGGGCAUCCUUACCGCACAGUGCCCGCAAGGGGAUCAGCCCUCCACCGAGCUGUAAGUGAACAAGAGUACUUUUGGUAAAUAUAUCCUACUUCAUCUCCGAGGACAAUAACUGAGACGUAUGUCUUGCAGUUCGGAUCAUAGCCCUUCUCGACAGAGUUCGUCUUCGGGGGAUCUUCUUCCGGAGAUGAUGGAGAGCGAAACGCCUCCCCCCAUCUCCUCGCCUCAUGAGGCGGACGACCCUGAGGUGUCGUCACAGAGGAUUUCUCCUGAUCCUCCAAGGCCGGAAGGUAACCCUUAGGCCACCCGAAGUCCGGAGUAUUCGGCUCCUAAGGAGAGCAACAGAAAGAGUCCGGGACUGUCCGGUGCACGACCGGACGCACUGAUGGGUCUUCUGGAGCAAGCGGCUAUCUCAAAGGCGCAUCGUACUUUAAUGGGUACGGUGGUUGAAAGGAUUUCAUCCGCCAAAAGUGGGUUGCAUGAAGCUUUUAUGAGCCUGCUAAAAGGCUUUGAGGUACGCAAAGUAAUAUAUAUAUAUAUAUAUAUAUAUAUAUAUAUAUAUAUAUAUUACGGUACCGCACACGCUAGGUGUGCCCUAUACAGAUAGUAGCCUCUGAGACUCUGGUUGCUGUCCAAAGGCGGCAAAUAGAGGAUCAUAGUCCUAGGUAAUGAUCAUCUUGCUUUCAUGUGCAGGCGGCUGAGGGUCCGGUGGCUGGCCGGACUGGUGAGUUUGCCGAACUGAGGCGGCAACUUGAUGCGGUAGAUGCCGACAUCGUGCUUAUAAACAAGUGGCUUGACGAGGCACAAGGUAUGUAUUCUCAAGUGGUCAACAGAUAUUAAGAGGAGCAUGAUGCUAGUAUCUGUCAUAUGCUGUGAUUGCAGAUGGAGCUGCUGCCGUGGAGAUCCUUCGGGCGGAACUUGCCCGAGCCAAGGAACAAGCCAGGAGAAGUGAUGCGGCCGCCCUAAAGGCGGCCAAAGAGUUAAGAGCCGAACAGGCUGCUCGUCGCCAGAGCAAAGAUAAAAUAGCCAAGAUGGCUGUUGAGCUAAAGGAUGCCACCGACCGGUAUGAGCUUCUUGAAAAGGAAAGCCAAGCGAAGGCGGCGGACCUGAAGAAAGCCAUGGUAGCCGCCAAGGAAACCCGUUCUAAAAUCAGAGCAGCGAAGGAGGAGCUUCGUCAAGCCGGAGAUAUCACGGUUGGGAAGCCCUUUUUGUUACGGACGAAGUUUGGAGAUCCGAAGUAUGCCCCUCUGGAUCAAUUAUGGAGUGCUGCAGACGCGUACUUGGACUUGGCAACGAGUGCUGCUGAUGCGACUGUUUUUUCAAAGAUCAAAAAGAUCACGAAGUGGAAAAGUUCUUCUAGUCGCAGUUCAGUGCUCCAACGCGUCCGCUGCUAUUAAAUGAGCAAAUGGCUGAGUGGGCUGAGCUCCAUAGGUUGUCCGGGCUUGCCAUGAGGUCUAUCGUGGAUCAUCUUUGGCCGGAAGGGCCAAGGCCGAAUAGUUAUUUUGGUUUAGUGCAACUAUACCUUGGUGCUGUGCCGCAUAUCGACGCUGCAAAGAGGUCGGCAUGCAUAGAGGGUGCGCGGAUGGCUCUUGCCCGUGUUAAGACAUACUGGGCAGAGAUGGAUGCCACCGCUAUUGCAACCCGGGGUCCGGCCGUAGGCCACGUCUCGGCUGAGCACUAUUUUGAAGAAGUCCUAGAAGGCGCUCAUUUAAUAGAGGCUCAGUGCUCGAAGAGUAUCAUGUUCGAGUGACAUGCAUCCCAAUUGUAAAAACAAUGUUAUUUGGAUUAUAAAGGUUGUGUUUAUACUUUUGCCUGAAAGUAUUAUGAUGCCUCCUGUGCGGCCGUUUAUGUAUGUAUAUAACCUGAAAGUUUGCAGUCGUCGGCUUCAGCCCCCACGCAUAUAAUGCGGGGGUGUUCGGAAAAGCGCGUAUUCACACUUGAUCCAACGUCUUGGUCCAUUAAGGAGGUGAUGGCGCGGCGAACAAGGCAAUCGGACUAUAUAGCCUUAACACUUUCACUUAGCCAUAGGAGUUUGACGGUGGGGCUACUAUAUAGCCCCUGGUACUUCCGCGCUCCUCCGAAGACGGGGCGCGUACAUACAUGGCCGGGAAACCGGCCCUUCGUUAAUGCGGAGGAAUCGCGAAGAUUCCCCUGAGUCGUCGAGUGGUUGACCAGUCUCGCGCUUUAUCAUGACAGUCAAUUUUCGGCUUUCUCUACUGAGGUGCUCGUCCAGAUGAACCAAGGCACAAUCGCAGUAGUUCUCCUGGUGCCACCUUAGCCGAUAGAGCGGAACGUAAGGUAGCAAAACACGGGAGCCGGGCAAACCCAACUAUUGACCAAAGACAUGAUUCGGAGCUGAUGCAUAUACGGUUGCUUCUCUCCCUCUUUUCCCCCUUUCCUUUCUACCUGGUUGUCGCAACCAGAUGCUGGAGUCCAGGAGCCAGACGCCACCGUCGACGACGACACCUACGGCACUAGAGGUGCCUACUACUACGUGCAGCCCGCUGACGACGACCAGGAGUAGUUAGGAGGAUCCCAGGCAGGAGGCUUGCACCUCGUUCGAUCUGCAUCCCAGUUUGUGCUAGCCUUUUUAAGGCAAGCUUGUUUAACUUAUGUCUGUACUUAGAUGUUGUUGCUUCCGCUGCCUCGUCUAUGAUCGAGCACUUGUAUUCGAGCCCUCGAGGCCCCUGGCUUGUAUUAUGAUGCUUGUAUGACUUAUUUAUGUUUUAGAGUUGUGUUGUGAUAUCUUCCCGUGAGUCCCUGAUCUUGAUCGUACACAUUUGCGUGCAUGAUUAGUGUACGCUCAAAUCGGAGGCGUCACACCUAGCAUAUUUAGCUUAGAGCUUGCUUGUCAUAUAGGUUGUGUUCACCUAGUUGCAUAUCUAGUGAACCCUUUUUAUCCGCUAAGCCUUAAAAUUGACAAGAAAGAGUAAAAUUUGUAGUCUCCUAUUCACCCCCCCUCUAGUCGACCGUAUCGAUCCUUUCACCAACUCUCAAGGUGAAGAAGGGCAAUGCACGGUACCGUAGAGGCUAGCAAAUUGCGGAAAGGUAAGAGUGUGUAUGAUCCACGGACUCACAUUAGUCAUAAAGAACUCAUAUACUUAUUGCAAAAGUUUAUUAGCCCUCGAAGCAAAGUACUACUACGCAUGCCCCUAGAGGGAUAGAUUGGUAGGAAAAGACCAUCCCUCGUCCCCAACCGCCACUCAUAAGGAAAGCACUCAAAGAACACCCCAUGCUUCAAAUUUGUCACACGACGUUUACCAUACGUGCAUGCUAUGGGACUUGCCAACUUUAACACAAGUAUUUCUCAAUUUCACAAUUACCCAACUAGCAUGACUCUAAAAUUACCAUCUUUAUAUCUCAAAACCAUUAUCAAGUAUCAAAUUUAUCAUAGUAUUUAAUGCACUCUAUAUGAAAGUUUUUAUCAUACCCAUCUUGAAUGCCUAUCAUAUUAGGACUAAUUUUAUAGCCAAAGCAAAUUACCAUGCUGUUCUAAAAGACUCUCAAAAUAAUAUAAGUGAAGCAUGAGAGAUCAAUAAUUUCUAUAAAAUAAAACCACCACCAUGCUCUAAAAAUAUAAGUGAAGCACUAGGGCAAAAUUAUCUAGCUCAAAAGAUAUAAGUGAAGCACAUAGAGAAUUCUAAUAAAUUCCGAUUCAUGUGUGUCUCUCUCAAAAGGUGUGUACAGCAAGGAUGAUUGUGGUAAACUAAAAAUCAAAUACUCAAAUCAUACAAGACGCUCCAAGCAAAACACAUAUCAUGUGGUGAAUAAAAAUAUAGCCUCAAGUAAAGUUACCGAUAGACGAAGACGAAAGAGGGGAUGCCUUCCGGGGAAUCCCCAAGCUUAGGCUUUUGUUUGUCCUUGAAUUUUACCUUGGGGUGCCUUGGGCAUACCCAAGAUUAGGCUCUUGCCACUCCUUAUUCCAUAAUCCAUCAAAUCUUUACCCAAAAACUUGAAAACUUCACAACACAAAACUCAACAGAAAAUCUCAUGAGCUCAGUUAGUAUAAGAAAACAAACCACCUCCUUAAGGUACUGUAAUGAACUCAUUCUUUAUUUAUAUUGAUGUUAAACCUACUGUAUUACAACUUCUCUAUGGUUCAUACCCCCCGAUACUAGCCAUAGAUUCAUCAAAAUAAGCAAACAACAGACGAAAAACAGAAUCUGUCAAAAACAGAAAAGUCUGUAGCAAUCUGAUUUGUUCGAAUACUUAUGGACCUCCAAAAAUUCUGAAAAACUAGGACAACCUGGAUAAUUUGUAUAUUGAUCUACUGCAAAAAGAAUUGGCAAUUUAUCACGUUCUGGUGAAUUUUAACAAUUAUUUUCGUGAGCGCAAAGUUUCUGUCUUUUUCAGCAAGAUCAAACAACUAUCACCCAAGAAGAUCCUAUUGGUUCUACUUGGCACAAACACUAAUUAAAACAUAAAAACACAUCUAAACAGAAGCUAGAUGAAUUAUUUAUUACUAAACAGGAACAAAAAGCAAGGAACAAAAAUAAAAUUGGGUUGCCUCCCAACAAGCGCUAUCGUUUAACGCCCCUAGCUAGGCAUGGAUAAUUUCGAUGAUGCUCACAUAAAAGACAAGAGUUAUAGCACAAAGAGAGCAUCAUAAAACUCAUGACAAACACAUCUAAGUCUAACAUACUUCCUAUUCGUAAGCAUUUUAUAAGCAAACAAAUUAUCAAGACAAGCAAAAACUAGCUUAUGCAAGGAAGAAGAAAGAAACAAUAGCAAUCUCAACAUAACGAGAGGUAAAUUAGUAACAUGAAAAUUUCUACAACCAUAUUUGCCUCUCUCAUAAUAAUUACAUGUGGGAUCAUAAGAAAAUUCAACAAUAUAGCUAUCACAAAACAUAUUCUUAACACAAUCCACAUGUAUGCAAAGUUGACACUCUUCCAAAAUAGUGGGAUUAACAUUAACUAAAGUCAUGACCUCUCCAAACCCACUUUUAUCAAAAACUUCAUAAGAUUGAACAUUCUCCAAAUAUGUGGGAUCUAAAGUUGACACUCUUCAAAGCCCACUUUCAAUAUUAUUGCAAACAUUAUUAUUAAUCUCAUAUUCAUCAUGAGGCUUGAAUAAAUUUUCAAGAUCAAAAGAAGAAUCACCCCAAUCAUGAUCAUUUCAACAAAUAGUAGUCAUAGCAAAACUAGCAUCCCCAAGCUUGAGGUUUUGCAUAUCAUUAACACAUUUGACAUCAAUAGAAUUUAUAAUAACAUCAUUGCAAUCAUGCUUUUCAUCAAAGGAACUAUCAAGUAUGGGCGCAAUAGCAACGAUCUCAUGUUUAACAUAAGGAACUAUAGCAAAUUCAUCUUCAUAAAUAUUGGCAUCAUGGCCACAAGAAUAGAAAGCAUCAUGUUCAUCAAGGGAUAUUUCAAUCAAAUCAUCGGAAUCAUCAUUAUCCGUAGAUUCAUGCAUAUCAUUAUUUUCAUCCAAAGCAACGGUCAUUCUCUCAAUAAAUUCUUUGACAUAGACAUUAUGAGCAUAGUUUUCAUAGCAAUAUUUAAGUAUGUCAAAAUUUUCAGAUUCGUAGAGAGUAAUAUCAUUUUUCAAUCAAAGAAGCAACUUCAUAAGCACCCUUAAAAGCAACAAAUUCUUCAAUUUGUUCGAUGUCGUAGUGACUAUAAACACCCUUUGCAUAAGAAGAUAAGAUUUCAUUAUCAUUAAACUCACAUAGGUAGGGGAGGUGUUUUUUAGGGUUCUUAGAGCAACAAGUAAAAUCAUAAAUUUCACAAAGAUUCCAAGCAUAACACAACAAUCUGUUUAUUUGAUCCCAUAAGAGUCUCCCUUUUUCAGACAAACGGUGACACACAAAAUGAGCAUGCUCAUCUAAAGAUUUCCCAUCAACUAGGCUAGUUGGGGUUUCAGCACGAGCGCAUAAGGAUCGAAGAUGAUCCAAGUAGAACACUUUAAGUGGAUCCAUAUCAAUAGAUUUUUAGCAAGCAAAGAUGCAAGCAAAUAGAAGGCACAUGGAAACACAAACAAAGAUACCUACGGGAAGAAGGCGAAGAAAAGGCAAAGGUGAAGUGGGGGAGAGGAAAACGAGAGGCAAAUGGCAAAUACUGUAAUGCGAGGGAUAAGAGUUUGUGAUGGGUACUUGGCAUGUCUUGACUUGUGCAUAGAUCUCCCCGGCAACGGUGCCAGAAAUCCUUCUUGCUACCUCUUGAGCAUGCGUUGGUUUUCCCUUGAAGAGGAAAGGGUGAUGCAGCAAAGAAGCAUAAGUAUUUCUCUCAGUUUUCGAGAACCAAGGUAUCAAUCCAGUAGGAGACUACACGCAAGUCCCUCGUACCUGCACAAACAAAUAAGAACCUUGCAACCAACGCGAUAAAGGGGUUGUCAAUCCCUUCACGGCCACUUGCAAAAGCGAGAUCUGAUAAAGAUAAUAAGAUAAAUAUUUUUGGUAUUUUUGUGGUAUAGAUAAAGAUUGCAAGAUAAAUAGUAAACUAGAAUUGUAGAUUGAAAACUUAUAUGAUGUAAAGUAGACCCGGGGGCCAUAGGUUUCACUAGUGGCUUCUCUCAAGAUAGCAUGUAAUACGGUGGGUGAACAAAUUACUCCUGAGCAAUUGAUAGAAUAGUGCAUAGUUAUGAUGAUAUCUAAGGCAAUGAUCAUGAAUAUAGGCAUCACGUCCGUGUCAAGUAGACCGAAAAGAUUUUGCAUCUACUACUAUUACUCCACACAUCGACCGCUAUCCAACAUGCAUCAAGAGUAUUAAGUUCAUAAGAACGGAGUAACGCAUUAGGCAAGAUGACAUGAUGUAGAGGGAUAAACUCAAGCAAUAUGAUAUGAACCCCAUAUUUUUAUCCUCGAUGGCAACAAUACAAUACGUGCCUUGCUGCCGUUGUUGUCACUGGGAAAGGACACCGCAAGAUUGAACCCAAAGCUAAGAACUUCUCCCAUUGCAAGAAAGAUCAAUCUAGUAGGCCAAACUAAACUGAUAAUUCGAAGAGACUUGCAAAGAUAUCAAAUCAUGCAUAUAAGAAUUCAGAGAAGAAUCAAAUCAUAUUCGUAGAUAAUCAAGUUCAUAAACCCACAAUUCAUCGGAUCUCGGCAAACACACCGCAAAAAGAGUUACAUCGAAUAGAUCUCCAAGAGAAUCGAGGAGAACUUUGUAUUGAGAUCCAAAAAGAGAGAAGAAGCCAUCUAGCUAAUAACUAUGGACCUGAAGGUCUGUGGUAAACUACUCACGCAUCAUCGGAGAGGCCAUGGUGUUGAUGUAGAAGCCCUCCAUGAUCGAUUUCCCCUCCGGCAGAGCGCCGGAAAAGGCCCCAAGAUGGGAUCUCACGGGUACACAAGGCUGCGGCGGUGGAAAUAGGGUUUCGUGGUGCUCUUGGAUGUUUUCAGGGUAUAUGAGUACAUAUAGGCGAAAGAAGUAGGUCGGUGGAGCCACGAGGGGCCCACGAGGGAGGGGACGCGCCUACCCCCCUGUGCGCGCCCUCCUACCUCGUGGCCGCCUCGUUUCUUCCUUGACGUCCACUCCAAGUCUCCUGGAUUGCGUUUGUUCCAAAAACGAUCCUCGCGAAGGUUUCAUUCCAUUUGGAUUCCGUUUGAUAUUUCUUUUCUGUGAAACACUGAAAUAGGCAAAAAAACAGCAAUUUGCACUGGGCUUUUGGUUAAUAGGUUAGUCCCAAAAAUAAUAUAAAAGUGCAUAAUAAAGCCCAUUAAACAUCCAAAACAGAUAAUAUAAUAGCAUGGAACAAUAAAAAAUUAUAGAUACGUUGGAGACGUAUCAACUGCAUCCGUGCGUGGCCAUGGCGCACGCAAGCACAGAAACGUCGUGACACCGGAUGGCAUGCGAGGCCAUGGUGAACUGCAUCCGAAGGCAAAAAAAGAAGCAGCAAAAGACGCAAUUUCUGGACUGCACGGGGCGUUGUUGCCGGCGUACAGCUUCAGCACCAUGAUUGAAGGAGGUUGGCCUCCUGCCUGCCCUUCCGGUGAUGCCCUGUAACAAAGGAGGGGGAGAUGGAGGUAGGGGAUAGAGGAAGGGCUGCGGUGGAGGCCCUGAGAAUCGCCUGACUACAGUCGACGUUCUGGGAUCCUCUGGUAGGUCGUCGGAGCGAGGGAUCCUCUGGUAGGCCGAAGCGGGGGGGCAAAACGGGGGGGCAUGCAGUGUCCCGGUGCAUGGAGGGCAAGGUGGCCUGAGCCGUGCGCCCAUGCGUGGAUCUCGUUGUCGCGGUGACGGAGAGGUCCUUAGAGGAGACGGGCGGCCUCAUGCAGGGGUGGGAGAGGAGGCAGCUCGCGGGAGGCCUUGCCGGCCCCGAACCGUCGAUGGAGGGCCGCGUGGGGCCGCGGGUGUCCGGAUCUGGCGUGGGGAGGGAGGAGGCGCACUGCAGUGGAAGAAGGUGGUGGCAGCGGUGCACCGGCGUAGAAGGUGGAGGGAGUUGGGGUGUGAGAUGGGAGGCCACUGGUGGUGCCCGUGGCUGCCUACGGGGCCGGGACAGCCGGAUCCUGCGCGGGCAAGGCCCUGAUCUCCGAUUGGGUGCCCGUGGCGGACGGAUCUGGGACUACUGGUGGCCGGGGCUGCGGGGGAGGGUGCGGCAGUGUUGNNNNNNNNNNNNNNNNNNNNNNNNNNNNNNNNNNNNNNNNNNNNNNNNNNNNNNNNNNNNNNNNNNNNNNNNNNNNNNNNNNNNNNNNNNNNNNNNNNNNNNNNNNNNNNNNNNNNNNNNNNNNNNNNNNNNNNNNNNNNNNNNNNNNNNNNNNNNNNNNNNNNNNNNNNNNNNNNNNNNNNNNNNNNNNNNNNNNNNNNNNNNNNNNNNNNNNNNNNNNNNNNNNNNNNNNNNNNNNNNNNNNNNNNNGGUGGCGCUGUAGGUGGCCGGGGCUGCGGGGGAGGGGCACGGCGAUGGUGGCACUGUAGGUGGCUGGUCGUGGCAGCGCACCACCUGGGAAGGAAAGUGGUGGUAGGGGAGGUGGGGUGUGGUGGAGGUGGCUCUGUGGGGUGGUUGGGCGUGGAGUGGAGUGGGGAGAAUGUGGAGGAGUUGAGAUGGGCUACGGGAGGAAGAAGGUGGGGAUGAGCACCGAGCGGGGGUGUUAUCAGAAUAAGCGAAAGUGUUAUUAGAAUAAGGUCUUAAGGGGUGUUAUCAUAAUAGACCCACCCUAUAUUCUGAUCACGGGAUCAGAAUAUUAUUCUGAUCACAACAUGAACUUCCUGAGUUACACGCCUGAACUUCCCUCUGCACGAACCCGACCUUCGGGCUAUCUUGGCAACCGUGUCUCCCCUCGUGAAUUAUUCUCGUUUGUCGUGUUCUAUGUGAUGUAAGUGUAAUCUGAAAAUGUUUUUUAACGACUAAAUGCCCGUUUUAAAUAGGAAUCUCGCUCAUUGGCGGAUUUUGCUCUCGGGUCGUGAUGAACUUGCGUCUGUUGCAAUUUUACUGCCUGAGUUGUUCGACGUGAACUUCCCCCAGUCCUAGGUUGAACUUCCCGCAACAUUGUCAAAAUAGGGCUUGCGAUACACCAUUGGAAAGCUAUGGACACGAGUAUCAUGACCUAAGUUAAAUUUUUGGCAAAAUGUAAGCCGUUUAAGAGUAGUUUUGAAAAUCGUUUUUUCUUCAUACAAAAAACGUGAAUCGUAUUUUCAAUCGCAUUUCUAAAUUGUUUAUCGGAAUAAGGCAAAUAAUAUGGCGUUGGAAAGCUACUGCAAAACCGCUCCUUCCACAUGUUGAUAGUUUUCUGUAAUUCCUUAUGUUUAAAGAGUAAUUUGGAAAAUCGUAAAAUUUUGCAAACCGAACAGUCGAGUUUGUAUUUUCGAUGCCGUUUCUAAGUGGCUAAUCCAAUUGAGGCAAAUGAUAUGGCGUUGGAAAGCUUAUGAAAUUGCGCUCCUUUUUCAUGUUGAAAUUGUUUCCUAAUUGUGAACGGUUUAAGAGUAAUUUAGAAAACGGUACAAGUUCCACCGGGUUCGUAUUUUCGAGCUAAGUUUUUAACCGUACGUCCGACUAUAGCAAAUGAUAUGGCGUUGGAAAGCUCGAACAAAUGCGAAUAAUUUUGUUAUAUAUGGCUUCUCCCAAUUCUCUACGGUUUGAAGUCAAUUUUGAAAAUGGUUAAAAACGUAUUUUUGCCAUUAUUUCUAAAAACUUUAUCGGAAUAGGGUAAAUAAUAUACCAUUGAAACUCUACAGAAAAUGCGAAACUUUUUCAUGUUGAUGGUUUUCUCUUAUUCCUAGCCAUUUUCAAGUAAUUUCAAAAACGGUGAGAUCAUUCGUUCAGCCUUUAUAGCGAAACAGAUUCUUCGAAAAUGCACCGCGGGAAGAACUUGAACUUCUCAACAUGUCUAUUUGAACUCCACUCUGUUUUUUCAUGUGCUUUUUUUGCUCGUAGCUCUCCAUUCACUCACCGGAAUUGAGCAAGUGAUAUACCGAUGGAAAGCUGCUGUAAACACACAACUUUCUCGUGUUGAUCAUUUUUUCAUACUCGCGACGAUUCUAAAAAAAAUUGUGUGAAAUUCAUUCAGUGUAGUAGUAGAACUUCCUGUUGUUUUCAUGUUGAACUUCGGUGACGCUAUUUCCGUUUGUAAUUUUCUCAUCCAUUCGUGAGUGUUACACAAAUGAUAUUCCUUUUGUACAAACAUCUCUCACAAUAAUUUUUUUAACUUUCUCCGAUCGAGGACUUGAACUUAUAACAACAACAAAAUUGGACCUUGCCUUUUAAUUCAUUUUUCUCAUAUUAAACACACACCAUGUAGUAGAUAAACUUUUUAUAUUUUUAUAAUUGAUUUUUUAUUUUCUUUUUGAAAUCAAAUUGAUCCCAAAUAAUAACUGAACUUCUUUGUGGAUUGAGAGAAAUUAUUUUUUUAAAAGCUUUUAUUUUUUAUACUUUUAUUCUCACCUGAAAUGCAUUCCUUGCAGUACUUGAACUUAUCUUUGUUUUCACUAUGAACUUCUGUCAUAUUUUUGUGUAUACGCCGAAAAAUGCUUUUUGUGUCAACAUGAAAAUGAUUUUUUUAUGUAAACAAUGAUGUCGCGCCGUUAUUUUAGUUUGAACUUCUAGUUUUUAUAGAAUGGGGAAAAUAAUUUUUUAUACAAUCUUUUGAAAUGCUCGUCUUUUUAAUUUGAACUUCUCUGAUUUUUUACAAACAGGGAAAAUCCGUUAUAAAGAUUUUUAAACUACUUCUUUUUAACUUCUUGCUCAAAUUUUUUGAACUUCCAAAUUUGUCUUUUAGAUAUAAAGAACUUCAUUUUUUACACGUUGACUUGCUUCGGUUUUUAAAUUUGAACUUCUUAUAGAAUUUUGUCGCGUCAUUUUAUGCAUUUGCUUUUCGGUGAAAUGGCCUAGGCGGUCCCUUUUUUCAUUUGAUCAUUUUUCUUCUGUACGUGGUACACGUGAACUUUGACAUUUCUGAAACAUGAACUUCACAUGCUAUUAAUUUUUUUUCAUGAAACUCCAUAGUUUUUAUUCUUUGAAUUCCAUGAUUUUUUUUGUUUACAUUUUUUUGGUUUGAACUUCGAUGUUCGUUACACGUGAACUUCCGAAAUCACACCUUUUUUAUACACAUUUGCCCUUGAAUCCAACAUGUGCAAAAACAAUAGGAAAAUUUGGGUCAAUUCUCAUAAGCAAUAGGACAAACAUUUAGAGGGCACACAUAAUAGUUUCUUUGUUCUAUUCACUGUACUACGCACAAGCACAUGCACAACACAUCCACAAAAAGAAUUGGCUCACCAAAAUUGGAGUUUCUAGAAAUAUGAAAAUUGGACUUUUGUUAGAAACAUCGAACUUCUUCGUUACUUUGAAUUGAACUUGUUGGUCUUACUCUUUAGUAACCGGAAAAAUUUGAGUUUUUAAAUUAAUAUCAAACUGCUCUCCUUUUGAAAAUUGAACUUCUUCGUUAUUUUGAAUGAACUUAUUUGUUUUAUUCUUUACUAACUAAAAAAAUCAAGUUUUCAAAGAAAUAUCAAAUUGCUCGAUUUUUUUUAAUUUGAACUUCUUGGUUUUAUUUCUUUUAGUAGCGGAAAAAAUUCUAGGUUUAUAAUAAACAUCGAACCACUCAUAUAUUUUUAAUUUGAACUUCUUGAUUUAUUAAUUAGUAUUGAAGAAAAUCCUAGCUUCGCAACAAACAUCGAACAUUUUUAACUUUUGUUUGAACUCCCCAAGGUUUCAUCUAUGAACUUCUUGGUUCUCAUCCUCUUAACUCCAAAGUUUUUUUUUUGCAAUCUCAUGGGUUUAUAUUAUGUUGAAAUAUCUUUUAUUCUUCUGGACUUACAUCUAUCGAGCAAUUGAACUGUUUGAAAAAUAAUUGUACCUACCUUACUCACAGAUGAAUCUUAUCUCCUUUGAUUCGGAAAGGUGUGUAACACAUAGCACAAAUAGAGGCAAUUCUUCUAAUUAUUCUAAUUUGAGACAUAAACACAAAUAACUUCCACAUAUUACUUCUAUUUCUAUUUUUUGGAAAAGAGAAACAAAAACUCAAUUGUACAGUGUGAAGUUAAUUAUUAUUAUUUUGCAAUGUGAAAAGUUGCAUUUUUUAGUGAACUUUACUGUUGUUUUAUUUUCUACCUUUUUAAUACCAAUUGGACUGUGCAAGUUUUGCAUGGUGAACUUCUGUCUUUUCAUUUUUCAAUAAACACAACGAAUUGCUACACACAACAUUUUUAUAUAAAUACCCAGCAGUUGCUCAAAGUCAGUUUUUUUGGCUCACACACUAACUUUCUUGCACCCACAUGUGCGACUGAACUUCAGACAAGAAGUUAUUUAGAAACACUACAUAAGUGCACAUAGUACAACAGCACGGAAACAAGAUUUCUGCUACCGGAGCAAAUUCAAAGCAGUUGCGAUCUAAACGUUUGUGUUCUAACUUAGUUGGGUUCACAACAUGAACUUCAUAAAAAUCUAUACAACAUACAUCACAACACACAAGCAGCACACCCAGUGCACGCAUAAACGCAAGCAUGCACGCACACACCAGUGCACAAACACACACAUUAGCAUGUUCCCCAUGCCACACUCAGGGCGCACUCAUAGGGCGUUGGUGACUGGCCGCAGAGUUCGCGAGGACACAGGGCAGCUGCGGCGGCAGACAGGACAUGACACACCAUGCAGUGCCUUUAUGGACAAGUUAGAAGCACUAGUGCAAGCGCUUAAAGGACUCCGACG
rnacentral:lncRNA from 1 species